UGGGGAAUUUUGCGCAAUGGGCGAAAGCCUGACGCAGCAACGCCGCGUGGGUGAUGAAGGUCUUCGGAUCGUAAAACCCUGUCGUCAGGGACGAAGGUCGGGGGGUUAACAGCCCUUUGGCUUGACGGUACCUGGAGAGGAAGCCCCGGCUAACUCUGUGCCAGCAGCCGCGGUAAUACAGAGGGGGCAAGCGUUAUUCGGAAUUAUUGGGCGUAAAGGGCGCGUAGGCGGUGUCUUAAGUGGGAUGUGCAAUCCCCGGGCUUAACCUGGGAACUGCAUCCCAGACUGGGACGCUGGAGUACUGGAGAGGGUGGUGGAAUUCCACGUGUAGCGGUGAAAUGCGUAGAGAUGUGGAGGAACACCAGUGGCGAAGGCGGCCACCUGGACAGUAACUGACGCUGAGGCGCGAAAGUGUGGGUAGCAAACA
rnacentral:rRNA from 1 species